GAGGUCAGAGGGCAGCUCCCACCCCAGCCGCCUCCCUCGUGUCCAGCAGGCCGGGCCCAGGAGUGGCUUCCACCUGCCCGUCAGUGCAGGCCGGGCCUCAUGGAGCUGAGGGACAGAGGCUGGAGCUGUGGACACGCCAAAGUGGGACUGGAAGCGGUUUCAAGUGAGUCUGAAGUAAUUAGGAGUUCCUGCUGAUGGAUCGCACUGGAGGGACGUGGGGAUUAUUUAUUACCGAGUCACUUGCCGGAAACAGCCUGGAUUUGCCUUGUACUCACUCCCACUCUCUCCUGCAGUAGCAUUUCAUACUUCCAGGGAGCCACCGGGUGCAAUAGGAAGCUGCGAGUCCUGAGGGAC
rnacentral:lncRNA from 1 species